rnacentral:lncRNA from 1 species
AAUAGCACCCUUAGCAGUUGUGUACUUAAUUAACUUUUUUAUUCAUAGCUAACAUUUUUGGUAUGCAUAUACCAUCAUCAGGCUACAAAUUUACUUAAAAAAGAACAUCAAACACACAGAAUUCCAAAAAACAUUGGUUGGUUACCAAGGUUGCAUUUACAUAUAAACAAGAAUAAAUGGAUAAAAACUUAAACAAUAACUGAAAAUUGAAUAAGGACUAUCUCUGCUAAGGGUCUGAUGGCCGAAUCCUUAGCAAAGAUUAGAGAGGUAGAAGGCCAAAUACUGCAUUACAUCGAAUAUGUGGAUGACAUAAUAACUGUAUUGAAGGAUGAAGCCAAGAUAGACGAGUUUUCGGGAGCACUCACACUCCAAGCAUACAGGCUCACUCUUAAGAAAAAGCAAGUCAGCCACCAUAAGAUACACUAUUUAGACAUCAGAUAAAAGUAGAAAAUGCCAAGUUGAAAACAGCUGUAUAUAGAAAGCCAGUGUAUGAACCAGUAAUAAUCCCCAGCUGGUCUAUGGACAUGCCAGUAUAUAAAAAAGCUGCAUUCAGGUUUUUCUUCAGAAGAGCUGUGCUUACACUACAGACCAAACAAGCUCUGGAAGAAGAGCUCAAAUACAUCUAUAACAUUGAUUACCAGCAUGGUUAUGGGAGGCAGUUUUUACAAAACAUCUACCACAAGGUGCAGGAAACACUACAAGAAUGGCCUAGAAGCAACGUGUGGAUGAACAUGAGCUCAUCCCAGAAAAACGAAUAUUUAACUGUACCAUAUGCUUUUAAUAAGCUUAGUUUUACAAAGAAUUGUGGCGAAACUGGCCAAGAAAAGGCUAGCCUUUCACAGGGCACCUACAAUCUUUAAUAAACUAAGGAAUGAGAAGGACCCCAGAGAAGACUGAGAAAAACGAGGUAUCUACAGGAUAUUGGUAAGAAACCAGAGUACAUAACAAUAAAUAGCUUAUAUGGGAAUAAACAACCAGGACAUUAGCACAGAGAUUAAAGGAAUAUGAGUGAUAUUGCCAAGAGGAAACUGAUCACUACUCUAGCAAUGGAAGCUUACAUUACUGACCUGAAGAUAAAAUGAGAUGAAGCUAGAAUAGUAAAGUUAAUUGCCAAGAAAUUUCAAGCCCUGAUAGCAGAAACCUUAGAGAUUUUGAAGAGAUAGGAGAAAAAGUAAUUCCUAAAUGACAGAUUGGUUUUGGAAUUGCCAUUAGCAUGAUGCUAUGUGUUGGAAGUAUGGAAAAAGGACCUACCAAAAAACAAAAAGGAUGCAAUAAAUGACCAGCCAUGAAGGAUAAGUGGGAGCACAUAAAACAAUGAAGGUAGCUAAAAACAGUAGCAUAAGCACCAUAUAUCCAAAGGGAGAAAUACGUUCAACUACAUUGGGUAAUGAUAUGUAUGUUAUCCAGUAAAUACCUCGGUAUCUCCUUUUAUGGUGUUUUAAUUUGAUAUAUAU